rnacentral:lncRNA from 1 species
GCAAUCUCUGCCUGCUCCAAAGGGCGCACGGAAGACGAAUCGCGGCGCAGGAGGGCAGGCGAAGCUUCGGGUCAGGUUCGCCUUGCCCACUGGUGGCAAAGGUGUGAGAAGGAGGUAACUAUCUUACAGACAGAGCAAGAAAAGUAAAUUCACUUGGCUGUUCCAUAUCUCUGAGGAACCUGAUGCAUGAGUGGACUAGAGAAGAGAAAGACAGAAAAACUCCAAAGACCUACAGAUCAUCUGGCUGGCAGGAUGACCAAAAAGACGAACAGCAUGGAUAUAUUGUUCCUGGGUUGUGACAAAGCAGACUGCUUAAUCUUCUAAUGAAGUUGUAAUGCAGAUUUGUUAUUUCCUCUCCAUUACUCUGAGAAACUUGGAAAAGUGAAAAUCCUAGGGAAUUUCUUGUGUCAAAGGAAAAUUUCAGGUUUGCAUUUCUCAGUCUAUGGCAGUUGGGUGUGUAUCCUGUACUGGUGUGUGACAGACUGUCAGAGAAUGAGCACGUUGUUAAGUACUAGUUAAUUUAUUGUGACAUUCAUCUCUUUGCAGUGAUUAGGUUUUUGGCAGAUGUUUUUCCCCUUUUCAAUUAGCAUCUGUGCAAGGAAAAAUCACCUCGGCAGGUUAUUUAUCUGAGCUACCUUAGACCCAGUUUUCACCCAUGGGUGCGAGAACACAUGCAGUUCACUGAAACUGAGCUCUGCCUCUGAGUCAAGGAAGCAAGUAUCCUUCUUUCUAAAGAUAAGGCAACCCUCCUCUGCUGCCUGCCUGAAUCUUUUCUGCUGCUUCCUUUACCAAAGGCUCUGAACCUGGCACCACUCUCCAGAGCAGCAUUGCCCUCAAAGUGGUGCAGUGUUCCCUGUCCCUAUAACAUUGUCUGAUACAGUAUUCUAUUCUCGCUGCAAGAACUGAAGCUUCUUUGGCAUUGCAUUAACCAGCUUUAAAAAUAAGGGGUUGUUCAAAUGUGUUUUCUGCAAAUAUGUUUCCAUAUAAUUUUAUGAUUUAAAGACAGAAAUAAAUUUUUUGAAAGGUUCUAAUAGCCCUUUUGUGGGAUAUUCAAAUCUAAAACCUCUAUCAAUGUCUGAUCAUUUGAUUGAUUAUUUAUUUAAGCAAAUUAAGUCAUCUAUUUCAGUCUUGGACCAAAG